AUGGGUGUAGCUCAGUGGCAGAGCGGCGGUCUCCAAAACCGCGUGCCGGGAGUUCGAUUCUUCCCACCCGUG
rnacentral:tRNA from 1 species